rnacentral:rRNA from 1 species
UGAACGCUGGCGGCGUGCCUAAUACAUGCAAGUCGAGCGAACGGACGAGAAGCUUGCUUCUCUGCUGUUAGCGGCGGACGGGUGAGUAACACGUGGAUAACCUACCUAUAAGACUGGGAUAACUUCGGGAAACCGGAGCUAAUACCGGAUGAUAUUUUGAACCGCAUGGUUCAAAAGUGAAAGACGGUCUUGCUGUCACUUAUAGAUGGAUCCGCGCUGCAUUAGCUAGUUGGUAAGGUAACGGCUUACCAAGGCAACGAUGCAUAGCCGACCUGAGAGGGUGAUCGGCCACACUGGAACUGAGACACGGUCCAGACUCCUACGGGAGGCAGCAGUAGGGAAUCUUCCGCAAUGGGCGAAAGCCUGACGGAGUAACGCCGCGUGAGUGAUGAAGGUCUUCGGAUCGUAAAACUCUGUUAUUAGGGAAGAACAUAUGUGUAAGUAACUGUGCACAUCUUGACGGUACCUAAUCAGAAAGCCACGGCUAACUACGUG